AACGAACGCUGGCGGCAGGCCUAACACAUGCAAGUCGAACGAGAAGCCACCUUCGGGUGGUGGAAAGUGGCAGACGGGUGAGUAACGCGUGGGAACGUGCCCUUUGGUACGGAACAACUCCGGGAAACUGGAGCUAAUACCGUAUGUGCCCUUCGGGGGAAAGAUUUAUCGCCAAAGGAUCGGCCCGCGUCGGAUUAGCUAGUUGGUGAGGUAAUGGCUCACCAAGGCGACGAUCCGUAGCUGGUCUGAGAGGAUGAUCAGCCACACUGGGACUGAGACACGGCCCAGACUCCUACGGGUGGCAG
rnacentral:rRNA from 1 species